CCCUUAGAUGUUCUGGGCUGCACGCGCGCUACACUGAUGCGCUCAACGAGUAUACGACCUUGCCCGGAAGGGUUGGGUAAUCUUUUUAAAACGCAUCGUGAUGGGGAUAGAUUAUUGCAAUUAUUAAUCUUUAACGAGGAAUUCCUAGUAAGCGCGAGUCAUCAGCUCGUGCUGAUUACGUCCCUGCCCUUUGUACACACCGCCCGUCGCUCCUACCGAUUGAAUGAUCCGGUGAAUAAUUCGGACUGCAGCAGUGUUCAGUUCCUGAACGUUGCAGCGGAAAGUUUAGUGAACCUUAUCACUUAGAGGAAGGAGAAGUCGUAACA
rnacentral:rRNA from 1 species